CCUCCAUGUAAGAUGCAACUUGCUCCUCUUUGCCUUCCAACCACAAUUGUGAGGCCUCCCCAGCCACAUGGAACUGGUCUGUCACCCAGGCUGAAGUACAGUGGCUACCUCCUGGCUCAAGUGAUCCUGCUGGGCUCAAGCGAUCCUCUUGCCUCAGCCUCUCAAGUAGCUGGCAUUCAGCCACCAUGUUCAGCUAAUUUAAAAUAUUUUUUGUGUGUGUGGAGAUGAGGUCUCACCACCAUGUUGCCCAGGCUGGUCUGGAACUGCUGGGCUCCAGCUAUCCUCCUGCCUGAACCUCCCAAAGUGCUGGGAUUAUAGGCAUGAGCCACCAUGCCUGGCCUUGACCCAUGGAUUUCUAUGUACUCUCUUACCCACUCCCUCAUCACCUACAAUCAAGUCACCUCUUGCCAGUCUUUGGAAGCCGAGAAGACUUUUAGAGUUGACUCUGUUUUCCUCUCAUUUUACUGGCCAAGAAGUGAAGGCCCAGAGACUGCCUAAGAUAACCCCAAGGGCUGGAAGUGGAUUCAUGAACCCCCACCCAAGUCUAUUAACCCCAGGGCUUUUGACACUAGCAGAGGGAAAGGCUUCUACCCAGAUUAAUGACAGGGGCUAUUCAAAGAUUCUUGACCAGUGUCCAAAAGAAAAAAAUAUUUAAAUUAGCAUCCACUAUGGGCUGGAUUCUAUGCUGAGCACUAGAGUCACAGGUGGUGCACCCACUGUGAGAC
rnacentral:lncRNA from 10 species